UCUCCCCCGCCGGCGGAGGGGCCGGCCGAGGGGCGGGGGCGGCGACCUCGCAGCCUGGGAUUCGCCCCUGAGCGCGCCUGCAGGACCGGGAGCCACCGCCUCCCGGCCGACUCACCUCCGGCCGCCGGGUGCUGGCUGCACAGCGCCCCCAGGUUGUGAAAGGAGCUACAGCUUUCACCUGGCCCUCUCUUGGAACAGUCAUCCUUGGAAUUCAGCAGCCAUGCUAGGAGGAAGCUCAAGCUACAUGGAAGAUCAUGUAUAUGUAUUCCAGCUGAUGAUACCAGCUGAGGAUCCAGUCUACAACCAGAUGAACUCCAGACAUGUGAAAGAGAUGCUGGUACUGCAGAGAGCAUGCAAUGCUAUUCCUACCUUAAAGUUUCUGAUCAUCAGAGAAUAAUCAGAGUUAUCAGCUCAGUGGUUCAUGUCUCUUCUAAAGCUCCUUAAGAAGAUGAGAACACAGGUUCAGCGAGGCUAAAUAGCUUGUCCAAGGUCAUGAAGCCAGCAAAUG